rnacentral:rRNA from 1 species
UACGGAGGAUGCGAGCGUUAUCCGGAUUUAUUGGGUUUAAAGGGUGCGUAGGCGGGUCGUUAAGUCAGUGGUCAAAUUGAGGGGCUCAACCCCUUCCCGCCAUUGAAACUGGCGAUCUUGAGUGGAAGAGAAGUAUGCGGAAUGCGUGGUGUAGCGGUGAAAUGCAUAGAUAUCACGCAGAACCCCGAUUGCGAAGGCAGCAUGCCGGCUUCCUACUGACGCUGAAGCACGAAAGCGUGGGGAUCGAACAGG